ACGGGAGGCAGCAGUGGGGAAUAUUGGGCAAUGGGCGCAAGCCUGACCCAGCAACGCCGCGUGAAGGAAGAAGGCCUUCGGGUUGUAAACUUUUGUUGUAGAGGACGAAGAAAGUGACUGUACUCUACGAGGAAGCCCCGGCUAACUAUGUGCCAGCAGCCGCGGUAAUACAUAGGGGGCAAGCGUUGUCCGGAAUCACUGGGCGUAAAGGGAGCGUAGGCGGAUAUUUAAGUUAAGUGUGAAAGCCCGGGGCUUAACUCCGGAAAUGCACUUAAUACUGGACAUCUAGAGUGUGGGAGAGGUAAGUGGAAUUCCUAGUGUAGCGGUAGAAUGCGUAGAGAUUAGGAGGAACACCAGAGGCGAAGGCGGCUUACUGGACCACAACUGACGCUGAGGCUCGAAAGCGUGGGGAGCAAACAGGAUUAGAUACCCUGGUA
rnacentral:rRNA from 1 species